GUCCACGCCCUAAACGAUGUCAACUGGUUGUCGGGGAAGUUAUUCCUUGGUAACGAAGCUAACGCGUGAAGUUGACCGCCUGGGGAGUACGGCAGCAAGGUUAAAACUCAAAGGAAUUGACGGGGACCCGCACAAGCGGUGGAUUAUGUGGAUUAAUUCGAUGCAACGCGAAAAACCUUACCUACCCUUGACAUGUACGGAACCUCGCAGAGAUGUGAGGGUGCCCGAAAGGGAGCCGUAACACAGGUGCUGCAUGGCUGUCGU
rnacentral:rRNA from 1 species